AUGCCUGAUAGACUAAGUAGGCCCAGGAUGCGAUAUCCUGCCGAGUCAGUUUCAGUCUGUUUCUUGUGUCUCUUUCAGCCAGUGUGUGUGUGUGUGAGCAGUGUUUUAGCAACCAUUUUCCUUCCUAUUGUGCGUGGAUCCCGUCGAGUACGACGGAUGCGUAGGGGUGCUAAUACCUUCCCUUCGCAUAACCGACUCCCGAUCCCAUUCUCUUUGGUCGCGAGACCA
rnacentral:lncRNA from 1 species